AUUGAACGCUGGCGGCAGGCCUAACACAUGCAAGUCGAGCGGAUGACGGGAGCUUGCUCCUUGAUUCAGCGGCGGACGGGUGAGUAAUGCCUAGGAAUCUGCCUGGUAGUGGGGGACAACGUUUCGAAAGGAACGCUAAUACCGCAUACGUCCUACGGGAGAAAGCAGGGGACCUUCGGGCCUUGCGCUAUCAGAUGAGCCUAGGUCGGAUUAGCUAGUUGGUGGGGUAAUGGCUCACCAAGGCGACGAUCCGUAACUGGUCUGAGAGGAGGAUCAGUCACACUGGAACUGAGACACGGGCCAGACUCCUACGGGAGGCAGCAGUGGGGAAUAUUGGACAAUGGGCGAAAGCCUGAUCCAGCCAUGCCGCGUGUGUGAAGAAGGUCUUCGGAUUGUAAAGCACUUUAAGUUGGGAGGAAGGGCAGUAAGUUAAUACCUUGCUGUUUUGACGUUACCGACAGAAUAAGCACCGGCUAACUCUGUGCCAGCAGCCGCCGCGGUAA
rnacentral:rRNA from 1 species